GUGAGGAAUAUUGGUCAAUGGGCGAGAGCCUGAACCAGCCAAGUAGCGUGCAGGAUGACUGCCCUAUGGGUUGUAAACUGCUUUUAUGCGGGAAUAAAGUCAGGUACGUGUACCUGUUUGUAUGUACCGCAUGAAUAAGGACCGGCUAAUUCCGUGCCAGCAGCCGCGGUAAUACGGAAGGUCCGGGCGUUAUCCGGAUUUAUUGGGUUUAAAGGGAGCGCAGGCGGAAGAUUAAGCGUGACGUGAAAUGUCCCGGCUCAACCGUGGAACUGCGUCGCGAACUGGUUUUCUUGAGUGAGUGCGACGUCGGCGGAAUUCGUGGUGUAGCGGUGAAAUGCUUAGAUAUCACGAAGAACCCCGAUUGCGAAGGCAGCCGACGAGUCCUUAACUGACGCUAAAGCUCGAAAGUGCGGGUAUCGAACAGG
rnacentral:rRNA from 1 species